rnacentral:sRNA from 1 species
AACGUAUCAUUAAACAAUGUGUAAUUCACGUGUUAUGUUAAAAGUCAUUUUUAUGACGAUAAAUUUACGUGCAACAGUUUUUUUGUCACUAUAUAGCUCUACUUUUUGAGUUUGAAGAAUAAAAAUAAUAGUUUUAGUAAUACUUGUUGAAAACAUGAGAUCUUAAUUAUUCAUGGGAAUAGAGAAGAACCUUGGCACUUAACAAGAGAUUUUAAUGACAUCAUUGAUGCAUCAGAAAAACAAGGAGGACAAAUCAUACAUGAAGGUACUUUUGUGAACAUUAGGUCAUUCAUGUCAGAAUGUGACUUAUACGAUCUCAGACACUUGAGCAACUUCUUCUCUUGGAGAGGAAAGAGACAUGAGCUCAUUGUUCAUUGCACACUAUAUAGGGCUAUGUCAAAUGGAACAAGGGCUAAGGCUUACCCAUCCAGUCGUUGGGAGUAUUUAAGGUUUGAAAGCUCAGACCGUCAACCACUUCUUACUCACUUUAAUGUAUUCGAGGAAAAGAAAAAAGGAGUUUUUAAGUACGAUAAAAGAUUGAAAGACAAUGAGGAAGUCUCUAUUUUAAUUUAAGCAGCUUGGAACUUUGACGCCAUGGAGGAUGUUGAGGAAAAUGUCAGUAGAUUUAUACAAGAAAUCAUUACCUGAACUAGGACUAAGCAUCAAAAUAGUCAAAAAGCCACUGAAGAGAAUAGGCAAAAGCUAGAGGAGGCAAUGGCAAGCCCAGACGCUGACCAAAAUCUGAUUUCUACCAUCAAUAAUAGCCUACAAAGAAGUAGACAAUUUUGGGAGAUAAAAAUGUUAGUGCACCCUCUGUCAGAACAAUCAGAAGGAGUGUUGAUUGCUGGAACAAGCUGGAAGCUGUUUCAGAAGACUAAAGUGAAGAUCAAGUAAUUGAUGCUGACGUGGAUAUGCCGCCAAAUGAACGAAUGACGUGGAGACCACAACAGGAGGAGUUCAGUUUGGAAAGAAGAUAUUCACGCGAAGAUUUGGAGUGAUCCAAGAUCUUGAAGGCUAACCUAGAAGACCGAAGACCUCGAUGGUAUAAAUAGAGGUGCUAAAGUUCUUGUUAGACUUGGCCGUGAUUGUGAGUGAAAAAGCUAGUGCAACGCUUUUCAUUGUUAGAGACUAAGGUUUAGUCUGAUUGGAAUUCUAGAGAGAUCAAAGAGUGUGUUCUUGUGAUCUGCUCUUGUGUGUUUAGGGAAAUCUCAGGUGACAAGGUAAAGUAGUUUAUAUCUUGUGUAAAACCAAUUAAGGUAGUUGUAAACUUCUUAAUCAGAUUUCUAAUAAAAUGAUACUCGGUGGUUCUGAGUUUGGGGAAUACGAUUCUUAGGUUCAUCCGGAAUUUCAUUUGGUAUCAGAGCGGGCAUCUGAACCAAGAUGUACUUAACAACAGAUGCAGAUCCUGCGGAGAGGAUGGACUACCCCAAAGAGUUCGUUGAAGUCGGUAAAGCAAUCAUAUUGGAAAAAGGAAAUUAUGGACACUGGAAAGUGAAGAUGAGAGCUCUCAUACGUGGUCUAGGAAAAGAAGCCUGGAUUGCUACGAGCAUUGGAUGGAAGGCUCCGGUCAUCAAGGGAGAAGAUGGAGAAGAUGUGCUAAAAACUGAAGAUCAAUGGAAUGAUGCAGAAGAGGCAAAGGCCACAGCUAAUUCAAGGGCACUGUCUUUGAUAUUCAACUCCGUGAAUCAAAAUCAAUUCAAGCAAAUUCAAAACUGUGAAUCAGCUAAAGAAGCAUGGGAUAAACUUGCUAAAGCAUAUGAAGGGACAAGUAGUGUCAAAAGAUCCAGAAUCGACAUGUUAGCAUCUCAGUUUGAAAAUCUCACUAUGGAAGAAACAGAGAACAUUGAGGAGUUCAGUGGGAAAAUCAGUGCCAUAGCGAGUGAAGCACACAAUCUAGGAAAGAAAUACAAAGAUAAGAAACUGGUCAAGAAACUGUUGAGGUGUCUCCCAUCAAGGUUUGAAAGUAAGAGAACGGCCAUGGGAACGUCGUUGGACACUAACUCAAUCGAUUUUGAAGAAGUAGUGGGAAUGUUCCAAGCAUAUGAAUUAGAAAUCACUUCCGGAAAGGGAGGUUACUCCAAAGGACUUGCUUUAGCUGCAUCGGCAAAAAGAAUGAGAUAAAGGAAUUGAAGGAUACAAUAAGCAUGAUGGCAAAAGACUUCAGUAGAGCAAUGAGGAGAGUUGAGAAGAAAGGAUUCAGAAGAAAUCAGGGAACUGAUAGAUAUCGAGACCGAAGCUCAAAAAGGGAUGAGAUUCAAUGUCAUUAAUGUCAAGGAUACGGACAUAUUAAAGCUGAAUGUCCCUCCUUAAAGAGAAAAGAUCUCAAGUGCUCUGAGUGUAAGGGUCUUGGACACAUUAAGUUCGACUGUGUUGGAUCAAAGUCUAAGCCUGAUAGAUCCUGCAGUUCUGAAAGUGAAAGUGACUCAAAUGAUGGAGACUCGGAAGAUUAUAUAAAAGGUUUCGUGUCUUUUGUAGGAAUCAUUGAAGAAAAAGAUGAAAGUUCAGACAGUGAAGCAGAUGGUGAGGAUGAGGACAACUCAGCUGAUGAGGAUUCUGACAUCGAAAAGGACGUUAAAAUCAAUGAAGAGUUCAGGAAACUGUAUGACAGCUGGUUGAUGCUGAGUAAAGAGAAAGUUGCUUGGCUGGAAGAGAAGCUAAAAGUUCAAGAACUGACAGAAAAGCUGAAAGGAGAGUUAACUGCUGCAAAUCAGAAGAACUCUGAGCUGACUCAGAAAUGCAGUGUGGCUGAAGAGAAAAACAGAGAACUUUCUCAAGAGCUUAGUGACACUCGCAAGAAGAUCCACAUGCUGAACAGUGGAACAAAAGAUUUGGAUAGUAUACUUGCUGCUGGAAGAGUGGGAAAAUCAAAUUUUGGUUUAGGAUACAAUGGUGUUGGAUCAGGUACAAAGACGAAUUGUGUACGAAGCGAAGCUGGUGCUCCAACAAAAAGUCAAACAGGUUUUCGAAGCAACUAUGAUGCUGUUCCAGCAAGACGCAUGUACCAGAAUCACGAUCACUAUCAUUCCCGGAGAACUGUGACAGGUUACGAAUGUUACUACUGUGGAAGACAUGGUCAUUUCAGAGAUAUUGCUACAGGUAUGCUGCUAGGUUAAAUAAGCUGAAGAGACAAGGAAAACUAUAUCCAUAUCAAGGAAGAACCUCCAAGAUGUAUGUCAGAAGGGAGGAUCUCUAUUGUCAUGUAGCAUACACCUCGAUUGAAGAAGGAAUAAAGAAACCAUGGUAUUUUGACAGUGGAGCAUCCAGACAUAUGACAGGAAGUCAAUCCAAUCUUGAAAAUUAUACCUCUGUCAAGGAAAGUAAAGUUACUUUUGGAGGUGGGGAUAAAGGAAAAAUCAAGGGAAAAGGUGAUUUGACUAAAGCAGAAAAGCCUCAGCUUACAAAUGUGUACUUUGUCGAAGGGCUUACUGCAAAUCUUAUUAGUGUGAGUCAGCUAUGUGAUGAAGGGCUGACUGUGAGUUUCAAUAGUGUAAAAUGCUGGGCUACAAACGAGAAGAACCAAAACACUCUAACUGGAGUUAGAACUGGGAACAAUUGCUACAUGUGGGAAGAACCUAAAGAGUGUCUUAUAGCUGAAAAAGAGGAUCGAGUGGUAUGGCAUCAACGUCUUGGUCACAUGAAUGCGAGGAGCAUGUCAGAAAUAGUGAGCAAGGAAAUGGUUAGAGGAGUACAAGAGCUGAAACACAUAGAGAAAAUUGUGUACGAUGCCUACAAUCAAGGUAAACAGAUUAGAGUCCAACACAAGAGAGUUGUAGGUGUUGUUGAGAGAAAGAACCAGACUUUUCAAGAGAUGGCCAGAGCCAUGAUUCAUGGACAUGGAGUUCCUGAAAAAUUCUGGACAGAGGCUAUCAGUACAGUAUGUUAUGUGAUAAAUCAUGUUUAUGUGAGGAUUGGAGGCACAUUCGACAAGUUGGUCAAAGCGUUUGUGAAGACAAUGACAACUGAGUUCAGGUUGAGUAUGGUAGGCGAACUUAAGUACUUUCUGGGGUUGCAAAUCAAUCAGAUUGAUGAAGGGAUUGCUAUCUCGCAAAGCACCUAUGAUCAGAACCUGGUGAAACGCUUCGAUAUGUGUUCCAGCAAUCCAGUUAAAACUCCUAUGAGCACUACCAACCUCUGCAGCUGCUGUACUAAAUUUCUUUGGAUGAAACACAUGGGUUUGGAUUACGGUAUGUCAUUUUCUGACCAUUUACUUGUUAAAUGUGAUAAUGAAAGUGCUAUUGCCAUAUCUAAGAAUCCGGUACAACACUCAAUCACUAAACACAUAGCUAUAAGACAUCAUUUUGUUAGAGAAUUAGUUGAAGAAAAACAAAUUACCGUAGAACAUAUGCCUACUGAAAUUCAACUUGCUGAUAUUUUCACUAAGCCUUUGGACUUGAACAUGUUUGUGAACUUGCAAAAGUCUCUGGGUAUUGGUGAAGUCUAACUAUCUUCUUGAUGAGUGUUUGUGCUGAAACAGUGUUGGUUGUACAGUGAGAAGCAAGUUUUCAAAUCUAUUUUACAAAGUGUCAUAACCGGUUUUCAAAUCUUCUACUGUAAAAAGUUCACCAAGAGAAAGAGCUACCCUUCAUGGUUCGGAGAUGCAAAGUCAGUAAAGUGUGUGACAGACAUAGUGUGUAGAGCAUUAAGGAAGGGAUGAAAUGCAGAAAGGGGCAUAAAAGAAGCAUUUCAUUUCAUAAGAUGAAGCAUGAGCUUAUCUAAGACACGAGGGACAAAGGAGAAAUCUUGUCACUAACCCGAUGGGAACAAAAGAGAAAUCUUGUUCACCUACACUUUGGAGAGAAGGGAUGUCAAACAAAAAUAUUGAGAGAACAAGUAAGAAAGAGCAUCACUACACUCUGCAACAAGACAAGAGAAAAAAAA